rnacentral:rRNA from 1 species
UGCGUAGGCGGAUUAAUAAGUCAGUGGUGAAAACCUUCAGCUUAACUGGAGAACUGCCAUUGAUACUGUUAGUCUUGAGUACGGUCAAGGUAGGCGGAAUGUGUAAUGUAGCGGUGAAAUGCUUAGAUAUUACACAGAACACCGAUUGCGAAGGCAGCUUACUGGACCAUUACUGACGCUGAUGCACGAAAGCGUGGGGAGCGAACAGGAUUAGAUACCCUGGUAGUCC